UCCGAUAUGGUGUAGUGGCUAACAUUAUCGCCUCUCAUCGAUCCACGAAGCGUGACUCGAGCGCGAUAGCCCGGGGUUCGAUUCCCCGUGUCGGAA